rnacentral:rRNA from 1 species
GAUGAACGCUGGCGGCGUGCUUAACACAUGCAAGUCGAACGGUGAAGGCGGAGCUUGCUCUGCUGGAUCAGUGGCGAACGGGUGAGUAACACGUGAGCAAUCUGCCCCUGACUCUGGGAUAAGCGCUGGAAACGGCGUCUAAUACUGGAUACGAGCUGCGAAGGCAUCUUCAGCAGCUGGAAAGAACUUCGGUCAGGGAUGAGCUCGCGGCCUAUCAGCUUGUUGGUGAGGUAACGGCUCACCAAGGCGUCGACGGGUAGCCGGCCUGAGAGGGUGACCGGCCACACUGGGACUGAGACACGGCCCAGACUCCUACGGGAGGCAGCAGUGGGGAAUAUUGCACAAUGGGCGAAAGCCUGAUGCAGCAACGCCGCGUGAGGGACGACGGCCUUCGGGUUGUAAACCUCUUUUAGCAGGGAAGAAGCGAAAGUGACGGUACCUGCAGAAAAAGCGCCGGCUAACUACGUGC